rnacentral:rRNA from 1 species
UACAGAGGGUGCAAGCGUUAAUCGGACUUACUGGGCGUAAAGGGCGCGUAGGCGGAUGCGUAAGUCAGAUGUGAAAGGCCAUGGCUUAACCAUGGAAUGUCAUUUGAGACUGCGCGUCUAGAGUCGAAGAGAGGGAAGCGGAAUUUCCGGUGUAGCGGUGAAAUGCGUAGAGAUGUGGAGGAACACCGAUGGCGAAGGCAGCCCCCUGGGUCAAGAUUGACGCUCAUGCACGAAAGCGUGGGGAGCAAACAGG